GGCGUGCCUAAUACAUGCAAGUCGAACGGUCUUUUCUAUGGAAGCUUGCUUCCACUGAGAAGAUAGUGGCGAACGGGUGAGUAACACGUGGGUAACCUGCCCAUAAGAGGGGGAUAACAUCCGGAAACGGGUGCUAAUACCGCAUAGUUUUCUUGAUCGCAUGAUCGAGAAAGGAAAGACGGCCUUUGUGCUGUCGCUUAUGGAUGGACCCGCGGCGUAUUAGUUAGUUGGUGAGGUAACGGCUCACCAAGACGAUGAUACGUAGCCGACCUGAGAGGGUGAUCGGCCACAUUGGGACUGAGACACGGCCCAAACUCCUACGGGAGGCAGCAGUAGGGAAUCUUCCGCAAUGGACGAAAGUCUGACGGAGCAACGCCGCGUGAGUGAAGAAGGUUUUCGGAUCGUAAAACUCUGUUGUCAGAGAAGAACAAGUCGGAGAGUAACUGCUCCGGCCUUGACGGUAUCUGACCAGAAAGCCACGGCUAACUACGUGCCAGCAGCCGCGGUAAUACGUAGGUGGCAAGCGUUGUCCGAAUUUAUUGGGCGUAAAGCGAGCGCAGGCGGUUCCUUAAGUCUGAUGUGAAAGCCCACGGCUCAACCGUGGAAGGUCAUUGGAAACUGGGGAACUUGAGUGCAGAAGAGGAGAGUGGAAUUCCAUGUGUAGCGGUGAAAUG
rnacentral:rRNA from 1 species